AAAAACAAUUUUUUCAAAAAUAAAAAAAUUAAUAUUAAAAAAAAACAAUUUUUUACAAAAAAAAAUGGAUGGAUGGAUAUCCAUCCACUAAAAAUAUGAUAAUUGAUGGAUUGGAUGGAUUUUAUUCGUAAUGGAUGAAUUGGAUUUGAUAUUUUUAAGAAAGUUUUAGUGGAUUGUUAAUGGACUAAUGGAUUGUUUUGAUCCAUCCAUUAACGAUCCAAUCCAUAUCCAUCCAAUUCAUCCAUUUUGUC
rnacentral:lncRNA from 1 species